rnacentral:rRNA from 1 species
CCUACGGGAGACAGCAGUGGGGGAUAUUGCACAAUGGGGGGAACCCUGAUGCAGCGACGCCGCGUGGGUGAAGGAGCGUUUCGGCGCGUAAAGCCCUAUCGGCAGGGAAGAAGAUGACGGUACCUGACCAAGAAGCCCCGGCUAACUACGUGCCAGCAGCCGCGGUAAUACGUCGGGGGCAAGCGUUAUCCGGAUUUACUGGGUGUAAAGGGGGCGCAGACGGCAAUGCAAGCCAGGAGGGAAAGCCCGGGGCCCAACCCCGGGACUGCUCUUGGAACUGCAUGGCUGGAGUAGAGGAGGGGCAGGCGGAAUUCCUGGUGUAGCGGUGAAAUGCGUAGAUAUUAGGAGGAACACCGGUGGCGAAGGCGGCCUGCUGGACUGUGACUGACGUUGAGGCCCGAAGGCGUGGGGAGCGAACAGGAUUAGAUACCCGGGUAGUC